rnacentral:rRNA from 1 species
UACGUAGGGUGCAAGCGUUAAUCGGAAUUACUGGGCGUAAAGCGUGCGCAGGCGGUUAUGUAAGACAGAUGUGAAAUCCCCGGGCUCAACCCGGGAACUGCGUCUGAUACUGGAAGGCUUGAAUCCGGGAGAGGGAUGUGGAAUUCCAGGUGUAGCGGUGAAAUGCGUAGAUAUCUGGAGGAACACCGGUGGCGAAGGCGGCAUCCUGGACCGGUAUUGACGCUGAGGCGCGAAAGCCAGGGGAGCAAACGGG